CUACGGGUUGCUGCAGUGAGGAAUAUUGCACAAUGGGGGGAACCCUGAUGCAGCAACGCCGCGUGGAGGAUGACGCAUUUCGGUGUGUAAACUCCUUUUAUAUGUCAAGAAAAUGACGGUAGCAUAUGAAUAAGCACCGGCUAACUCCGUGCCAGCAGCCGCGGUAAUACGGAGGGUGCAAGCGUUACUCGGAAUCACUGGGCGUAAAGGACGCGUAGGCGGGUGGGAAAGUCAGGUGUGAAAUCCUACAGCUGAACUGUAGGACUGCACUUGAAACUUCUAAUCUAGAGUAUGGGAGGGGGAGAUGGAAUUAGUGGUGUAGGGGUAAAAUCCGUAGAUAUCACUAGGAAUACCUAAAGCGAAGGCGAUCUCCUGGAACAUUACUGACGCUAAGGCGUGAAAGCGUGGGGAGCAAACAGGAUUAGAUACCCUAGUAGUC
rnacentral:rRNA from 1 species